CCUACGGGAGGCAGCAGUGGGGAAUAUUGCACAAUGGGGGAAACCCUGAUGCAGCGACGCCGCGUGAGUGAAGAAGUAUUUUGGUAUGUAAAGCUCUAUCAGCAGGGAAGAAAAUGACGGUACCUGAUUAAGAAGCCCCGGCUAACUACGUGCCAGCAGCCGCGGUAAUACGGAGGAUGCGAGCGUUAUCCGGAUCUAUUGGGUUUAAAGGGUGCGCAGGGGGUCUGUUAAGUCAGCGGUCAAAGCCCGGGGCCAAACCCCGGCCCGCCGUUGAAACUGGCAGACUCGAGUUGGAGAGAAGUAUGCGGAAUGCGCGGUGUAGCGGUGAAAUGCAUAGAUAUCGCGCAGAACUCCGAUUGCGAAGGCAGCAUGCCGGCUCCACACUGACGCUGAGGCACGAAAGCGUGGGUAUCGAACAGGAUUAGAUACCCCAGUAGUC
rnacentral:rRNA from 1 species